GAAGUCUUUUUAUCUGCAGCUUAUUUUGUCCUGAUCACCUGGAGUUCAACCAAGCCUUGAUUUUAUUGUAUAAUCACUAUACACAAAUCAACAAGACAGCCAUUAAGCAAAAGGGUGUUUUUUUUUUUACUUUUCGAAAAAAAAAUUUAGGCUUAUUGAACAAUUGUGAAAUAUGAGUUUUGGGGUUAGUGAAGAGGUUAUAAAGAAAGCUUGUGAGUUAUCAAUGAAAGCUCAUGAGUGCUGUGAUGAAUCCAGUAAUUAUCUUUACGAAGAAUGUCAACUUGACUCGACUGCAGUUGCCGUGUUCUCCUUUGCCGGAGCUUGGUCUGUCACUGAUUUGUUUGCCGAAAAUUGUUCUAGUUAUGGGGAAACAAAGAUUGAUUUAGCUCUGUUUCCGUCGCUGAAAAGCAUCGGAAGCCAAGAAGCUGCGCUUGUUAAUGAAGCAUUUCUUUGUAGAUUUAAAGUUGUUUUUGGAAAUUCUUCUCUCUCGGUUAAGGUAGAUGGAGCUGUUAAAGAGCAGAAACAAGUUGUUUUUGCAGGGCAUGGCCUAGGCGGUCCAAUGGCCAAUUUCGCGACACUUUGGUUUUUGGAAAAAUAUACAAGAAUCGGCUGCAUUGCAACUCCUAGAUGUGUGACUUUCGGGUCUCCUUUAGUUGGUAAUCGCAUAUUGCCUCAUGCUGUUAGGCGUGAAAAUUGGAGUCAAUACUUCAUUCAUUUUGUAAUCAGGCAUGACAUUGUUCCUUGCAUUAUGUUUGCUCCUUAUUUGUCUGUUGAGAAGGAACUACAAAAAGUUCUUGACUUUCUAAACCCAAGAUCGGUACUAUACAAGAAUUCUUCUGUAUUCUUGUCAAGUGAGGCGUCAUCUUUUGUUGAGAAAGUUUUGACAAAUUUGUCAUCUGUAGCAAGCUAUGAUGCAUGUAACCUCGCGGGAUGCAAGAAUUUGUUGGUGGACAAUUUUUCUAGCUUUAUGGAGCUUAGUCCUUACAGACCUUUUGGAACAUAUAUAUUUUGCUCUAAUAAUGGAAGGAUGGUCGUGGUGAGGAAUUCAGACGCUGUUUUACAGUUAUUAUUUCAUUCUUCACAACUGCAAUCGAGAGAUGAAUGUGCCAUGUUUGCAGGGCAAGUAUUAGAAAUGAGUUUGGGCUACAAAGACAUAUUCCAGGAAAGCGUGGAGGAAGAACGUGUUAUUUAUUUGGAUAGUGCAUCUGUGGAGUUUAUGAAGACAGAAAAGAUGACACUCGAUGACCUUGGCCUGAGCUUGAAAGCAAAGGUUUGCCUCCUAACAGCAGUAGAGUUUGAGGAGCAGAAGUUAAUUUGUGAGAAAAACAUAGACAAAGAAGAAAUUAUAGAGAAACUGAAUUGGUUGGAAGACUACCGAAGUAAUUGUGAGCACCGUAAGAAGUGUUGUUAUGAUGCAUUCAGGAUCAAAGCAGAUGAAGACGACUUUCAUGCUGGGGUGGUAAGCCUGCAACUAGGAGGAAUGUGGAAUGAUAUACUUGAAAUGUUAAAAAUGAAUCAACUCCCGGACAAAUUUGAAGGUAAUAAAGAGUGGAUAGAGUUGGGAACCAUGUACAGACGACUUGCUGAGCCUAUUGCAAUUGGCAGCUACUAUGCACGCGGAUUGAAUGAUGACUCAGGACCCUUCAUGAUAAAGGGAAGAUCUAAUGUAUUUAAGUUCACUCAGAGAUGGUUGGAUCACAAGGAACAGUUUCCUGUGGAAAUAAUAUCAGAGUCAUGCUUCUGGGCCGAGGUAGAGGAGCUUAUUAUUCUUGAAAAAAAGAAGACGUAUGAUGGUUUGAAGGAAAGGAUUAUAAGUUUGGAGAGACAGGUUUUGCAUUGGCACGAGGCCAGGGUGCUGGAGAGUGGAGUGUUUUUCGAAAAUUCUACAUUUACCAAGUGGUGGUAUACACUUCCUGAACAACAUAAAUCUGAAUCAUGCAUUAGAGAGCUGUUCAGUCAAUAUUAGUAUGGCAUCAUCUGUUUCUAGGAAUGUUUGAACAAAUAAUCAGAAGAAGCUCUGUUGCAAGCUAAAUAUUUUGCAUUGGAAUAAUUGUAGUCUUAUUUGCAUUUUAGAGCUUGAGAGCUAAGCUUUGCCUCCUAACAGCAUGAGAGUUUGAGGAGCAGAAGUUAAUUUGUGAGAAAAACAUAGACAGAAAAGAAAUUAUAGUGAAACUGGAUUGGUUGCAAGAAUACUGUAGGAACUGUGAUGCCGGUAAGGAGUGUCGUUAUGAUUCAUUUAUGAAUCAUGCAAAUGAAAUGUUAAAAAUGAAUCAGCUUCCAGAUGAAUUUGAGGGAAAUAAAGAGUGGAUAGAGUUGGGAACCAAGCACACAUGACUUAAUGAGCUAGUGCCAUUGGCAGCUACUAUGCACGGGGAUUGAACGAUGAUGCAGGACCUUUCAUGAACAUCGGCAGGUCUAAUGUGAUAAGUUCACUCAAAGAUGGUUGGAACACAAGGAAAAGUUAGCGGUGGAAUCAAUAUCAGAGUCAUGUUUCUGGGCCGAGGUAGAGGAGCUAUUGAUUCUUGGUAAGAAGGGGUCAUAUGAUGGUUUGAAGGAAAGGAUCACAAGAUUGGAGAGACAGAUUUUGCAUUGGCAUGAGGCAAGAGUGUUGGAGAAUGGAGUGUUUUUUGACAAGUCCACCUUUACUCAGUGGUGGAAUUCACUUACUCAGCAACAUAAAUCUGAGUCCUGCAUUAGAGGGCUGUUCAGUCAAUGCUAGUAUAGCAUUAUCUGUGAAUGCUUGAAAAGAUAAUUAGCAGCAAGCUAAAUAUUUUGCAUUGGAGUAAGAGUUAAUAGUCUUAUUUUGCAUUUUUGUUAUACAAUUGUCAGCAAGACUCAGAAGGAAGGUGCCAGUUUUGCAGGAAAGUCUAGUUGAGGUUACUCGAGUAAGUUGCUGACAAUGCUUCAGACAUCCGCAAUGUUUCACGUAAUGCGGGCUCAUUUCUCUUUUAUGUUACUCCCUCUGUUUUGAAAUAUAAGUCGUUUGAUUUUUUGACACACAUAUUUCUAAGUAUUUUGACCGCAUAGUUAAAAUCA